GGGGCGCCCUGCCCGCCGAGGGGCCUCUCCGAGCCCGGGGGAGGGUCGCCGCGGGGACCUUAGGGGCGGGCCGCGUCCGGUCCUGCUGUCCGGAGCCCGCUGGCUCGCCUCCUCCCUAGGUCGUUCUUGUCGCAGGGAUAGUUCGCCGUGCGGGGCUUCGGGCAGGUGGACCCCGCCUCCCCCAGCCGCGCGCGGGUCUUGGUUCCCCCAUCUCAGAUCAGCACGGGGGAGACGGUAGUGAGAGAUCACGAAGGAACAGAACAGGAGAACAGGACUGACCCUCCUGUCUAUAUCAUCUGGAUUUAUUGGAAUAUGUUAUUGUAUGAUGUCCUGGUAGAGAGACUCUACUUAGAGCAAGCAUGAAACAGACUUCUGCAGAAUACAUUAAAACGUCGACGUGAACC